rfam:TPA: Bos taurus chromosome 11, whole genome shotgun sequence.
UCCCUGGCUGUCCAGUGAUCAGGACCCUGCACUUCCACUGCAGGGGUCCUAGGUUCAAUUCCUGGUCAGGGUU